UGGCCGUUACUGUGGAGACCGCAGCCCGUGCCCGAGGAGGAGGAGGAGAAGCAGCAGGGGGAGAGGCGGCUGGGGCGAAGCGGAUGCCCCCACCGGGAAGGACCCGAGAGCCGGGCCCCAGUUUUCUUGGUAGAGCCCCACACACGCUCGGUCAGACGCCUGUGGCCAAAGUUUUGAUUCCCUGUGAUCGCUGCUGCUAAGUGCUCCACAUGCCCGGGAGGUCAAGAUGAUUAAACCUGGCUUUCAACAAAUCGCAUUAUGCUUCAGAAUUUGGUGACUUUGGGUCAAGUGCUUGUGUUUUAGUCCGUGUGACCUUGGGGAAUGUAACAGCUCCGCCACGUCACCACUAGGUGGCGCACCAGCCUAGGAUUUGGGGAAAUGAAGCCGAGACCGUUGGGAAUAAACUGCGAGCCCAGAUGGGUGCCCUCUCCCCGAAGAAAAACCACAGCGGCCUUCUGCUGUCGUCUCUCUCCUCUUUCCUGUACCCACAAAUGCCUGCCUCGAAACGCUGAACAUCGUUCACGCAGCCACAGGUCGCCCGGCUUACUCUUGUUCUGACCCCACGGUUGACUGACGACUCAAACAAACCUCUCUGAUGCCUCUUAAAACACAAACCGACAAACGGGGGCUGACAACAGGGCUGGCAGAACUCCCGUCUGCAAAGAAGACUCGGUGAAAGCGGGCGGCCUCACUGGUUCAAGCGCAAUGCCUUACCCUCAUCAGCCAACCCCGAGCUCUUAAGACACGUCAAAGUAAGGCAACGAGAGCAUCUUAGAAAAACGGAGGACAGAAUGGAACGGAGUGAGGACGCUGGAAGGAGACCAGUAGAGAGCUGCCGUGCUACUCAGGAAGACAGCUAGUGAACAGCCUGGACCAACAUGCUCAGCGGCAGAAUCAGCAGCAU